AUUGAACGCUGGCGGCAGGCCUAACACAUGCAAGUCGAGCGGACGAAGGGAGCUUGCUCCUGCAUUCAGCGGCGGACGGGUGAGUAAUGCCUAGGAAACUGCCCGGAAGUGGGGGAUAACGUCCGGAAACGAGCGCUAAUACCGCCUACGUCCUGAGGGCGAAAGUGGGGGAUCCUCGGACCUCACGCUGUCAGGUGCGCCUAGGUCGGAUUAGCUAGUUGGUGCGGUAAAGGCCUACCCAGGCGACGAUCCGUAACUGGUCUGAGUGGAUGAUCAGUCACACUGGAAGUGAGACACGGUCCAGACUCCUACGGGAGGCAGCAGUGGGGAAUAUUGGACAAUGGGCGAAAGCCUGAUCCAGCCAUGCCGCGUGUGUGAAGAAGGUCUUCGGAUUGUAAAGCACUUUAGGUUGGGAGGAAGGGCAGUAAGUUAAUACCUUGCUGGUGUGACGUUACCAACAGAAUAAGCACCGGCUAACUUCGUG
rnacentral:rRNA from 1 species